GACCUACGGGAGGCAGCAGUGGGGAAUAUUGCACAAUGGGGGAAACCCUGAUGCAGCAACGCCGCGUGAGUGAAGAAGUAUUUCGGUAUGUAAAGCUCUAUCAGUAGGGAAGAAGAAAGACGGUACCUGACUAAGAAGCCCCGGCUAACUACGUGCCAGCAGCCGCGGUAAUACGUAGGGGGCAAGCGUUGUCCGGAUUUAUUGGGCGUAAAGCGAGUGCAGGCGGUUCAAUAAGUCUGAUGUGCA
rnacentral:rRNA from 1 species